UACGUAGGUGGCAAGCGUCAUCCGGAUUUAUUGGGCGUAAAGGGAACGCAGGCGGUCUUUUAAGUCUGAUGUGAAAGCCUUCGGCUUAACCGGAGUAGUGCAUUGGAAACUGGGAGACUUGAGUGCAGAAGAGGAGAGUGGAACUCCAUGUGUAGCGGUGAAAUGCGUAGAUAUAUGGAAGAACACCAGUGGCGAAAGCGGCUCUCUGGUCUGUAACUGACGCUGAGGUUCGAAAGCGUGGGUAGCAAACAGG
rnacentral:rRNA from 1 species